UAAUGAUUUAAAAUACUGCAUGACACAAAAGCUGAUUCAAUUGUAUACAUUUUUAUGAUAUUCUUUAUACAACUAUAUGACACUGUUAUACACUGCUUUAUUUUGUCGGUAACUGUGUCCUCUACCCUUAUCUCGUCGCUAUGGAGUCUAGCCCAUAGGAAGGGUAGGGAGUGUACCUAUACCUAUACCAAUCCUAUCCUUUAUCCCGAUUCCCCUACCCGCGCUUCUGCAAUUCCAUUUUCAAGAACAUCAUUCCGCUACAUUUUACCUUGUGAGAGCGUCCGUAGCUAAGUUUGUAAUUUUCUUAUUUUACUUUAAUCCGAGUAUAUUUUUCUUGAUAAUUUGUAAUUCAUACUUCAUCAGUUAAAGGAUAAGAAACUGAUUCGGUCAGUGGCCCCGGAUGGGUUUGAAUUUAGUCCACGUUCUAUUAAUUCUAUUCGUGACUAGAUCUACACUCAUCCAGGGAAACCGACACUCAAAAUCAAAUUCUUCGAAUUCGUAGAAAAUAGGCUUAAAUUUACAAGAAGUCUGCCUUUCGACGUAAAUAUGUUACCGGGAUUGAUAAAGAUUGCAUACCAUGAACUAAUACAGCUGCUAUUGCUUGAUGAAGACAUUGAGCAGUUACACAAGCAGCAUUUAAAGCACUUUGUACAGCAGACAACCAUCCACUAUUAUCAAGUCUUGAGAGCCACUGGGAUGUAGAACAUGUCACAUCGUUACAAGCUUCUAUCAAUUUAUAAAAACUAUCUGCUAAAUCAUGUGGACGUGGUACUGCUUUGUGCACUUUUUGCCAUUGAGGAUAAGCAGCAUCAAUUUCUGUACCACCUCCUUUGGCUCUAGAACUUUGAGCUUGACUAAUAGACCUUGUAUCUACUAUAUAACUAUUGAAAAAACAUAUUAGUAAUAGGUUAAUCCUGAUAAUAGUCUUUCUAUUAUCUCAAUAAAAUCACGACUCCAAUUCAUCAACAUUGAUAAAUGGAUUCUUAUUUUGAAAUCUCUAAACACGUUACUACAUGGCUUUUAAAAUUUUUGUAUUUACCCACGUCUUCCUGGACCUAAUACUGCAUUUAAAAGUCUCUCAUCUUCUUUGCAUCUUUUGCUAGUAAUACCACACAUUGGUUGGCUACUUCUUAAUAAAACACUCUGCAAUAUUGAAUAAUACUUUAUUAAAUAUAUGUUACGCAUUUGCUUUUGUUUAUUACUUUGUUAUCUUUCUUCAUAUCAUACCCCGCCAUCGUGCCUGUAACACAGAACAGGAAAUCUUCCACCCUCUCUAAAAUUAGCAGAAGCUAUUAUAAUUUUGUCUUCUACAUGACGUGGUACUAUAACUGCGGAAGGAUAAGAAUUGCAAACUUUGUAUUCUUUAUUUAAAUAACUAAUACGCCAUUCGUCUGCAUGAGCAGUUAAUAAUUUGGACCACUCCGAAACGGGGGCAAAUGCAGUCCAUUCAUCCUCUAUUUGUACAUUAAUAUUGCUGGUAGUUUUUAGUCUAUAAACGAAAGGAUAUUGCAAAGUUUGUUCUGGAAUAAAACAGAAGUAAAAGUUGAUAAUCUAUAAUAAAAUGCUAUAUUUCAUAUUAUGUAAAAGGCAAUCUUUCACCUUGAGUGGUUAAUUUUUCUAUAGACAAAGCAACGUUCAUUAAAUCAUCUGCCGAAUUAAUAUCCAGCUGCAGGAUCCGGAAAUCUUUGCAUUUUAAUAUAAUACUUCCACCUGGGCUUUGAGUAUUUAAUUUUCUCUCUACAAGAUCAAUGUUUCGAUACAACAGCUGAAAAAUAUAUUAAAAAGUUGUUGUAGAAACUUGUGAAUGUUCUUAUUUAAAGUUGACGAACCUUCAUUUGAAAUAAUCAUACUUAUAUGUAAACUUAUUUUUUUUGUAAAUCAUACCCAAAACUCUUGUCGCGGAUCUUGUAACGGCGACCAAAUUAGAUGAUGAAUACAAACAGAUAAUUGUCCAUCCAUAGAUUUAUUACUUCCAUCAGUCUUAUCUACUAGUACAACAUUAUUGAGUUUCGGCACUAAUAUGAAGUCACUAAGUCGGUCCAUUAUGUACUUCGAUCAGAUACUUCAAGUGUGAAUCGUUGGUAAUAUCAGAAAUACAAAUGUUGUGACAGUUUUGCAUAACCUCAGAUAUUUCGGUACGAGCUGAAGAAAUUAAAUGUCAAUCGCCACGUUCUUGUUUACUUCAUAUCACAUACGUUAUGCAUUACACAAACAUAACUGAUAGCGUGAAAGCACAGGCUUAUAAUCUAUACAGAUGUCUCGGGCAUCGUAACUUUUAGUCUGUGGUUCUGGAAUACCGACUCUGUUAAAAGUGUCUAAACACAGCGACAAGGUGCUGUAUAUAUUGAAUUAGACCAAUCACUGUAUGUAAAUGGUUUUAUGUCACCAUAGAUCAGAUAGAAAUUCAGUAUGUAAAUGUAGUGUCUAAAAUGCACGGUUUUUGCUUAUCCAA